rnacentral:RNase_P_RNA from 1 species
CUUAGGUAAACGCUGCAUAUAAUUAUGUAGAGGAAAGUCCAUACUCGCAUAAUCUGAGAUUGAUUAUAGUGUUCGUGCUAGAGGAAAAAAUAACUCUAGGUAGAGAAAUCUAACGGCGAUGAAAAUGGAAAGUUCUUUCAUGAGUAGUUGUAAAGUGCCAUAGAGACGAUGCAUUUUAGGAAUAAAAUGAGUGGAACGCGGUAAACCCCACGAGCGAGAAACCCAAAUUUGGUAGGGGAGUCUACACAAAUGAAAUGAAAAGAGUGUAGGAGUUAAUAACUAGAUAAAUGUUUACCACCCGUAAGGGCACAGAAAAUGGCUUAUU